rnacentral:rRNA from 1 species
GAUGAACGCUGGCGGCGUGCUUAACACAUGCAAGUCGAACGGGAAAUAUUUCAUUGAGACUUCGGUGGAUUUGAUCUAUUUCUAGUGGCGGACGGGUGAGUAACGCGUGGGUAACCUGCCUUAUACAGGGGGAUAACAGUCAGAAAUGGCUGCUAAUACCGCAUAAGCGCACAGAGCUGCAUGGCUCAGUGUGAAAAACUCCGGUGGUAUAAGAUGGACCCGCGUUGGAUUAGCUGGUUGGUGGGGUAACGGCCCACCAAGGCGACGAUCCAUAGCCGGCCUGAGAGGGUGAACGGCCACAUUGGGACUGAGACACGGCCCAGACUCCUACGGGAGGCAGCAGUGGGGAAUAUUGCACAAUGGGGGAAACCCUGAUGCAGCGACGCCGCGUGAAGGAAGAAGUAUCUCGGUAUGUAAACUUCUAUCAGCAGGGAAGAUAGUGACGGUACCUGACUAAGAAGCCCCGGCUAACUACGUGCCAGCAGCCGCGGUAAUACGUAGGGGGCAAGCGUUAUCCGGAUUUACUGGGUGUAAAGGGAGCGUAGACGGUGUGGCAAGUCUGAUGUGAAAGGCAUGGGCUCAACCUGUGGACUGCAUUGGAAACUGUCAUACUUGAGUGCCGGAGGGGUAAGCGGAAUUCCUAGUGUAGCGGUGAAAUGCGUAGAUAUUAGGAGGA